rnacentral:hammerhead_ribozyme from 1 species
GCACUGCUAACGAGUCCCGAAAACAGGACGAAACAGCUGUCCAGUGC